rnacentral:rRNA from 1 species
ACUCCUACGGGAGGCAGCAGUGGGGAAUAUUGCACAAUGGGCGCAAGCCUGAUGCAGCCAUGCCGCGUGUGUGAAGAAGGCCUUCGGGUUGUAAAGCACUUUUCAGUUGUGAGGAAGGUGGUGUCGUUAAUAGCGGCAUCAUUUGACGUUAGCAACAGAAGAAGCACCGGCUAACUCGUGCCAGCAGCCGCGGUAAUACGGAGGGUGCGAGCGUUAAUCGGAAUUACUGGGCGUAAAGCGCAUGCAGGUGGUUUGUUAAGUCAGAUGUGAAAGCCCGGGGCUCAACCUCGGAACUGCAUUUGAAACUGGACAGACUAGAGUACUGUAGAGGGGGGUAGAAUUCAGGUGUAAGCGGUGAAAUGCGUAGAGAUCUGAAGGAAUACCGGUGGCGAAGGCGGCCCCCUGGACAAAGACUGACGCUCAAGAUGCGAAAGCGUGGGGAGCAAACAGGAUUAGAUACCCUGGGAGCAC